rnacentral:lncRNA from 1 species
CUAGGCGGCUGGCUGAUCAGAGUGGCCCCGGAAACUUGGACAGUUUUGAGUCUACGCGCGAGUGAACUAGGUGCAGCGGUGACCCAGCUGAAGACGUUUGGAAACAUUCUGGCGCCGAGCGCUGGGCGCGGAGUAGGAUGUGUGGAUCUGGGCAGGCGAAGGCUGUGCUUUCCUAGAAUCUGGAUUGUAACGGGGAGGCAGGUUUCUGAGGAAUCGAGGUUCUUUGCCGGUAGAAAACGCUGCCCUUAUUGGAAGUUCCAGGCAGGCAAGAAGGAAUGCAGAGCAUUGUGUAUGCACGUGUAGACUCCACCCAGAGUAUUGUGUAUGUAUACACCCACAAGGACAUUGUGUGUGCUCAUGUGUACACAGGCCCCAGAGCAUUGCGUUUACAUGUGUAUACUCUUCCAGGAGCAUUGUGUAUGCGUGUGUACACACACCCUAGAACAUUGUGUUUACUUAUGUUUAUACCCCCAGUAGUUUUUAUAUAUGUGUGUACAUUUCCAAAGAGUUUUCUGUAUGUGUGUGUGUGUACAUGUCUAUACACACACAUACCAGAGCAUUGUGUAUGCUCUUACUUAUACAUGGACAUACCAGAACAUUGUGCAGGCAUGUGUAUCUGCACCAGAGCAUUGUGUUCAUAUAUCUAUACACAUGCAUGCACACACAUUUAAAACUAAAUUUUUGUCCAGAUUCUUGUAAAGAGCUUUUUGGAAAUCAUUUACCUACCAUCAUUUUUUUAAAAAGAGGCUGGGGUGUAGCUGUUUAGCAUCCUUGACAUUAUUUGCCUGCCUAUCAGCAGUACCCCUCAUUAUGGUGACCAAAACUCUGCCUUUUGUUGAAAGCUACUUUUUAAAAAAAUAUUUCAUUUCAUGUGUAUGAGUGUUUUCCCUGUGUGUAUGUAUGUAUAUUUAC